rnacentral:ribozyme from 13 species
AUAUCUCUAAAAGGAGAAACAAACUAGGAACAAAACAGCACAAAGAGAAGCAAUAGAGAAGAUAGGACUAACUCUUCCCAUAUCUUUUUUUUUUUUUUUUUUU